GUCUUGGCAACGAAUCUCGUGUCCCUUCGUCUCGCUGCGGAAUAAGAGACGCUUCCACCACAAUCCAACAAAGGUCCGAGGGAGAGGGAGAGAGUGAGGGGCAACAGUGAUUGGUCUCCACUAUCCACGAUCCAACUCUUCUCUCUCUCCGUCAUCGGAGAUGGAUAGGUGCUGGGUACCAAAGAAGAGAGAGGAAGGGCAUCGAGAGGCGCGCGCGUCGAUGAUUAAGUGGUGGGAGCGCGUGGUGGUGUUCCCAGCGCGGCGAGUCUGGAUCGGCGUUGCCACCCGUCUCGGCAUCCGAAGGACCGGGCUGAGGAAGCUGAGGAAGGAGGUGAGGUCGUGCGACUACGAGGACGUGCACGUCAUGUGGGAGUUGCUGCGAAAGGCCGACACCGAAAUCGGAGGGCGUCCGUUCGGUUGCAGGGCGAUCCAACGAGGGAGGCGGAGAUGGAGGCGAGGUGGUGGCGAGCUGUGGGCCUCCCUCUGCCACUGGGCUCCUUGUAACCUGUGUCGCAACUUGUAAUUCAUUCCCCGUGUUAUCUCUUCUCUUGCUUCCCAAGUAUAUACUCUCCUGUCAGGGCAAAAGUUGUAGUGGACUCCGUUUCUUGUACAUAUAUAGAAACAAUCCAUCAUCAUCAUCGUCUCUCAA